rnacentral:Y_RNA from 1 species
AGCUGGUCCGAUGGUAGUGGGUUAUCAGAACUUAUUAACACUAGUGUCACUAAAGUUAGUAUUCAACCCUCCAGUGCUAAAUUUGACUGGCUUUUU